UGGAUUUUCUAAUUCUUCUUUUUCUGGGAAGGAUAGGGAAAAGAAAAAAGUUUCUGCAGAAGCAUAUAUCUCCUUCAGAACAGAAGCCUGUGCCCACUUGUGAACACGCCUAUUUAUUGGUGUCUAGGUAUAAAAAUGACAGGAGGCAGGAAAAAAAUAUGCAGCCGUUUCUUUCUAUCGUCUGUGAUUUGCUGUCUGGCUGGGACUGCACUUUGCAGGGUUGGAAAAAGACCAAAGAGGUGCCAAAGGAAAAAUGUAUUAAAAUGUAAGGUAUUUUUAUAGACUGGAACUAAACCCAGCAUACCUUCCUAGCUUAACUCCAGCCAGAUGUACGAACAGACACAAAGUACAGACUGUUUUGAUCUUACCUCCUCCUUUUAUUUUCCAUUCAUAAGAAAUACCGUGUUUAAAUUAGACCACUAGCACCUGAGAUUACUGUGCAGGGAAUUUCACACCGACAAUCACAAAGCAUGUGCAGGCGGGGGGAUGACCCUCACCCACCAUCCCGGGUAACGUGGAGAGGGUCCCAUCACAACUUCUGCGGUGUGUUUGCCCAGGCUGAAGACCCCGGGAUGUGGUAGGGGAGCCACAGGAGAGGACUUUGCGUCCUUGGAGGGAUCCUGCUCAGCUGAGCAACAGGGAAUACGAUAAAUCCGUAAAAAGGAACAACAGCACUUGAAGCUCCUGGUGCAGCACUCGGGGCGGCAGGGUUGGGGCAGCCUUGGGGCUCCCAUGGCUCUCUCUGUGCAGAGCAUUGCUGACACUGCCAGCACCCUGGCGAGCCCCGCGGACCCGGCUCAGCGCUGCCCCUCUACCAGUUGUACUGGUUUACCAAGGGUUGUAUUUACGAUAGUGUGUAUGUGACAAGAAAAAUUGUGAUUUAUCAUGAGAAAGGUGCUUUUCAUCGUGAAGGUUAUUCGGUGUCCCCAGGGGCACUCCCUGCCGUGGGUCUUCGCCCCUGUGGGUGCGGAGCAGGAUAUCCCCUUUGCCAGGAGCUGUCCUUGUCCCCCAUGCAGCUGGUGUCCAGCCCCCGAGCAUGCCGAGGGGCGAUGCGGGUCCCCUGCCAGCGCUGAGCUCCAGGGCCAGGCGCCUUCAUGUGCUGUGUUGGACCGACCGUCCCGUCCCUGCAGACCUGGCAGGUCGGGGAGCCCCGUGGCCCCAAGUAUCCCGGACUCACAGCUGCUCCUAAGUCAUUUAUUCCGGCUGGAGCUGGGACUGAGAGUCUUCGGGCUGAGCUCUGCGCUCCUGACACCCACCCGUGUCUCGGUCCAAGGGGCUGGUCUGCCAGUGGAGCCUGCAGUAGAACCAUAAAGGCUAAUUCUCAUACGCAGUGGUUUCCCAAGGACGAGGGAAGGGCAUGUUCAUUGCGCCGUGGGCCUCGUGCUUCCCUCUGCUGUGCAACCGAGAGAAAGGCACGGGCGUGCGGAAACCGUUUCUCGAGACGUGAUCUUCUGAAAUGUUAGUGUGGGCCUAGCUGGAGCGUACUGCCCUAGCAUCACCACUGUCUAUAAGACAAAUCUUAUGAAAAGAUCCACUUUAGAUGGAUGAGUGUAUUGGGUUGGUGUGGCAAGGUUUUGGUAGCAGGGGAGUUACAGGGGUGGCUUCUGUGAGAAGCUGCUAGAAGCUUCCCCUAUGUCUGACAGAGCCAAGGCCAGCCGGCUCUAAGACGGACCCGCUGCUGGCCAAGGCCGAGCCCAUCAGCGAUAGUGGUAGCGCCUCUGUGAUAACACAUUUAAGAAGGGGAAAAAAGUUGCAGGGGGCACAGAAACGGCAGCCGGAGAGAGGAGUGAGAACAUGUGAGAGAGACAACCCUGCAGACCCCCAGGUCAGUGAAGAAGGAGGGGGAGGAGGUGCUCCAGGCGCCUGAGCAGAGAUUCCCCUGCAGCCCGUGGGGAAGAUCAUGGUGAGGCAGGCUGUCCCCCUGCAGCCCACGGAGGUUCACAGUGGAGCAGAUAUCCACCUGCAGCCCGGGGAGGACCCCACGCCGGAGCAGGGGGAUGCCGGAGGGAGGCUGUGACCCCGUGGGAAGCCCACGCUGGAGCAGGCUCCUGGCAGGACCUGCGGACCCGUGGAGAGAGGAGCCCACGCUGGAGCAGGUUUGCUGGCAGGACUCGUGACCCCGCGGGGGACCCAUGCUGGAGCAGUCUGUGCCUGAGGGCCUGCAGCCCAUGGAAGGGACCCACGCCGCAGCAGUUUGUGAAGAACUGCAGCCCGUGGGAAGGACCCACGCCAGAGAAAUUCGUGAACUGUCUCCCGUGGGAGGGACCCCGUGCUGGAGCAGGGGAAGAGUGUGAGGAGUCCUGCCCCUGAAGAAGAUGAAGUGGCAGAGACAACGUGUGAUGAACUGACCGUAACCCCCAUUCCCCGUCCCCCUGCGCCGCUGGGCGGGUGUAGGUAGAGAAUCUGGGAGUGAAGCUGUGCCCAGGAAGGAGGGAGGGGUGGGGGAAGGUGUUUUAAGAUUCGGUUUUAUUCCUCCUUGCCGUGCUCUGGUUGAUGACUGGCAAUAAAUGAAGUUAAUUUUCCCCA